GUGCAGCAGGCGAGAAACCUCCGCAAUACACGAAAGUGUGACGGGCCAUCCCGAGUGCCGUCCGCUGAGGACGGCUUUUCCCCAGUGUACAUAGCCGGGGGAAUAAGGAGAGGGCAAGCCUGGUGUCAGCCGCCGCGGUAAUACCAGCUCUCCGAGUGGUGGGGACGCUUAUUGGGCCUAAAGCAUCCGUAGCCGGCUGGGCAAGUCCUCCGUUAAAUCCAACGAUUCAAUCGUUGGGCUGCGGGGGAUACUGUCCAGCUUGGGGGCGGGAGAGGCCGGCGGUAUUCCCGGGGUAGGGGUGAAAUCCUAUAAUCCCGGGAGGACCACCAGUGGCGAAGGCUGUCGGCUAGAACGCGCCCGACGGUGAGGGAUGAAAGCUGGGGGAGCGAACCGGAUUAGAUACCCCUGUAGU
rnacentral:rRNA from 1 species